rnacentral:rRNA from 1 species
UGCCAGCCGCCGCGGUAACACGGGGGGCGCAAGCGUUAUUCGGAAUUAUUGGGCGUAAAGGGCGCGUAGGCGGCCAGGCAAGUCGGAUGUGAAAGCCCGGGGCUCAACCUCGGAACUGCAUUCGAAACUGCUUGGCUAGAGAACGGAAGAGGAGAGUGGAAUACCCAGUGUAGAGGUGAAAUUCGUAGAUAUUGGGUGGAACACCGGUGGCGAAAGCGGCUCUCUGGUCCGGGUCUGACGCUGAGGCGCGAAAGCGUGGGGAGCAAAACAGGAUUAGAUA